rnacentral:rRNA from 1 species
AGUCAUAUGCUUGUCUCAAAGAUUAAGCCAUGCAUGUCUCAGUACAAGCCAAAUUAAGGUGAAACCGCGAAAGGCUCAUUAAAUCAGUUAUGGUUCCUUAGAUCGUACCCACAUUUACUUGGAUAACUGUGGUAAUUCUAGAGCUAAUACAUGCAAACACAGCUCCAACCGGAGACGGAAGGAGUGCUUUUAUUAGAUCAAAACCAAUCGGCGGCGGGUUCACCCCCGUCGUCGUACAACCGGAUGAAUCGGAAUAACUUUUGCUGAUCGCAUGGUCUAGCACCGGCGACGCAUCUUUCAAAUGUCUGCCUUAUCAACUGUCGAUGGUAGGUUCUGCGCCUACCAUGGUUGUAACGGGUAACGGGGAAUCAGGGUUCGAUUCCGGAGAGGGAGCCUGAGAAACGGCUACCACAUCCAAGGAAGGCAGCAGGCGCGCAAAUUACCCACUCCCGGCACGGGGAGGUAGUGACGAAAAAUAACGAUACGGGACUCAUCCGAGGCCCCGUAAUCGGAAUGAGUACACUCUAAAUCCUUUAACGAGGAUCAAUUGGAGGGCAAGUCUGGUGCCAGCAGCCGCGGUAAUUCCAGCUCCAAUAGCGUAU